rnacentral:rRNA from 1 species
UACGGAGGGUGCAAGCAUUAAUCGGAUUUAUUGGGCGUAAAGAGGGCGUAGGCGGAGAUGAAAGUCAGAUGUGAAAGCCCGGGGCUCAACCCCGGAACGGCAUUUGAAACUCCAUUUCUAGAGGAUAGGCGGAGAAAACGGAAUUCCACAAGUAGCGGUGAAAUGCGUAGAUAUGUGGAAGAACACCGGUGGCGAAGGCGGUUUUCUAGCUUAUACCUGACGCUGAGGCCCGAAAGCAAGGGGAGCAAACAGG